rnacentral:lncRNA from 1 species
CAAGCUCCAUCCUUCGGAAUCCAAGUUCAGCUGGAGUGAUAACAUAAGUCUGGAUCCUUAUUUGGCUGCUAGAGAGGAAGGCAAAUCAGUUUCUUUUGCCACAGGAUUCCACCCCCACCUCCUUUUAUUUUCUUCAUUUUCUUUAGUUUCUCAUCUCUCAUUGAUUUAUACAGUCUCUGAUCUACUGUUUUGAGAAGCCGCUGUUGUGGAAUCCUUAAGUCAUCUGUGACCCAGGUCACUACAGACAGGAGCAAUUUAGUAAAAGUAUUAAUUGAAACUCUUCUGGCAAGCCCUGCUUCUGCAGAUGAAGUUACACAUCAAACCUACACAGACUGCAACUCCACUUCUGAACAGGAUAAAUUGUGGCAAACUAUAAAAGUCGAAUAUCACCUUCCCUUCAUCAAGAGAAGGUUAGGAGAUGGAGGAGUUUGGAAAACCAUCUAAAAAGUACACCGCGAGGAGGAACCUGGCUGCCCAGGAGAGCUAUGAGCAUGCCCAGAGCCUCGCGCUGAGGCCUUCUGCUGCCAUCACCUCCAUAUGGAAGAUGUUAGAACACCCAAACUACUAAAGCAGGCAAAAGGAAUAAAAACAGAGUAACAAUGAC